AAAGCCAAAUCCUAUAUGUGGAUUGUGGAGUAUUUGUAUUUGUAUUUCUUUUGCUUUUUUCCCAUUAGUCUUCGCUCUCCAGUUCAAAUCGCAACGGCGCAGCGGAAGUGUUGAUGGAGCAGCGGUGGUGCCGUGGUGGUGACUGGUGAGGAUCGUCGCCGGUCGUCGUUGGAGUUGGGCCGACAAGAGGCGGCGUUGGUGUUGCUAAUUGCGAAGAGAAAGAGAGCAAAAUUUCAGUGAACCGAUGAAAUGAAAGGAAAACUAGGAUUGCAGCUAAAAUAAUAUUGUUUAUUUAUUUAAUUAAUAUUAAAUGUGAAAUUACCAAAAUACCCCUAGUUUUUUUAAAAAUUUCCAGGGGGCCCAGUGCCCCCACUGCCCCCCCUCUACCUCCGUCACUGGAAAUAAGUAUCAACACCUUUAUUUAAAUAAUAUAAAAAACUUAUGAAAUUAAACUUGAGUGACGGAAAUUGCCUGGAAAAAUAAAGAAUGCUUAAAAAACAAUGGAAGAACGCUGACGAAUUGAUGAAAUUUGUUCUAUAUAUUAAAGAUAGUGUAAAAUUUACAAAUGAGAAAAGUUUGCUAUU